rnacentral:rRNA from 2 species
GACAACUUUUGACGGUGGAUCUCUUGGCUCACGUAUCGAUGAAGAACGCAGCCAGCUGCGAUAAGUAGUGUGAAUUGCAGAAUUCAGUGAAUCAUUGAAUCUUUGAACGCAAAUGGCGCUCUUGGGUUCUCCCAGGAGCAUGUCUGUCUGAGUGUCGGAUAUSUUACGA